rnacentral:rRNA from 1 species
AGAGUUUGAUCAUGGCUCAGGAUGAACGCUAGCUACAGGCUUAACACAUGCAAGUCGAGGGGAAACGAUAUUGGAAGCUUGCUUCCGAUAGGCGUCGACCGGCGUACGGGUGAGUAACGCGUAUCCAACCUGCCCACCACUUGGGGAUAACCUUGCGAAAGUAAGACUAAUACCCAAUGACGUCUCUAGAAGACAUCUGAAAGAGAUUAAAGAUUUAUCGGUGAUGGAUGGGGAUGCGUCUGAUUAGCUUGUUGGCGGGGUAACGGCCCACCAAGGCGAUGAUCAGUAGGGGUUCUGAGAGGAAGGCCCCCCACAUUGGAACUGAGACACGGUCCAAACUCCUACGGGAGGCAACA